rnacentral:rRNA from 1 species
GAUGAACGCUGGCGGCGUGCUUAACACAUGCAAGUCGAGCGAAGCACCUUGGAAAGAUUCUUCGGAUGAUUUCCUUUGUGACUGAGCGGCGGACGGGUGAGUAACGCGUGGGUAACCUGCCUCAUACAGGGGGAUAACAGUUAGAAAUGACUGCUAAUACCGCAUAAGACCACGGUACCGCAUGGUACAGUGGUAAAAACUCCGGUGGUAUGAGAUGGACCCGCGUCUGAUUAGGUAGUUGGUGGGGUAACGGCCUACCAAGCCGACGAUCAGUAGCCGACCUGAGAGGGUGACCGGCCACAUUGGGACUGAGACACGGCCCAGACUCCUACGGGAGGCAGCAGUGGGGAAUAUUGCACAAUGGAGGAAACUCUGAUGCAGCGACGCCGCGUGAAGGAUGAAGUAUUUCGGUAUGUAAACUUCUAUCAGCAGGGAAGAAAAUGACGGUACCUGACUAAGAAGCCCCGGCUAACUACGUG